rnacentral:rRNA from 2 species
UACAGAGGUGGCUAGCGUUGUUCGGAAUUACUGGGCGUAAAGGGAGCGCAGGCGGCUAAACAAGUCUGGAGUGCAAGCCCGGGGCUCAACCCCGGAAUUGCUUUGGAUACUGUUUGGCUUGAGUACGUCAGAGGUGAGCGGAAUUCCAGGUGUAGCGGUGAAAUGCGUAGAUAUCUGGAGGAACAUCCGUGGCGAAAGCGGCUCACUGGGACGACACUGACGCUGAGGCUCGAAAGCGUGGGGAGCGAACGGG